rnacentral:tRNA from 1 species
AUAUUAAUAAGUUAAAACAAACUGAUAACCUUCAAAGUUAAUAAUAUAAUUUAUUGUUUAAUAUA